AGUGGCGAAAACCUCGGCCUCGCCUAAGCCCCCCCUCGAACUCUGGAUUCUAGAGGAUAUCGAGGACACAAUGCGGAAAAGAUACGGUUGUGGAGGUUUCCGAAGUCCAACCUUAAAGAAUCUGGUCGAGCUUCAUGGUAUCCGGUGCUCUGAGACUCACAUUGAUUCACUUGUUAAAAGGUGGUGUGGAGAGACGAGAGAUUUGUUGAGUUUGCAGAGAGGGAUACCAUGACUCUCGGCUUGAUUAAUGCUAAUCCAAUUGUUCACGCCGCCAAGAAGAGAAGAUCGCUCGGACAAAGAUCUUCACGGCGAUGAUGCUGUUGAUCCACUCGAAAUCUAUGAUGUCCCUCCACCAAUCAGCAUCUCAAACCCUAGCCAUUCUUCAAAAGAAUUUAAGUAUCACUUUCCCGAUCUGAUUUCUAUGUUCGUAAAAAGAAAAUGGGAGAUUUUGGAAUCGAUUUUGAGUGUAAUCUUUGACUCAAGGUGUCACAGAUUUCGUGAGGGAUAUAAGAGACCCAGCGCAUCCUUACUCGCUUGGACAGCUUAACGUUCUCUCCGAGGAAUCAAUUCCUGUCGAUGAGAAAAGCUCUGACGCAUUCUGUAAGCUUUUCUUAUAUGGGUUUUCUCUUUAGUUUCUUUUCCACCAAAGAAUUGCGUGGAAUUGUAUGGUAAUGAUCUCAGGCAAACAUUUGGGGGAAAAAAUUUAAGCAAAUCCUGCCUGACUAGUGCAGUUUUGCUUCUAAAUAAUAAUGAAAUUAUGACUUCCACUCAGAGUUGAAAUUUACUCAUCUAUUUCUGUACUUUGCUUAUAAGAGAUUUUGUUAUUCAA